rnacentral:misc_RNA from 1 species
UACCUCUGCUGGUGAGGACCCUUGGGGAUUCAAUUGAUACUGAAAUUCAUUUCCAAGCUUUAACCUCCUGAUAGAUUGGUUGCACUCAAUCAUUAGCUCCUCAAGCUUCUUGUACAUGUUCCCAAUCGCAGAGUCGAGGUCCCAAGCCUUCUCCUCCCAUUCAAUCCUCUGGUUCUCAAUAUCCCCAAUAUCCCUUUCCAAAGCAUGCAACUCCCUCUUCAUCCUAUCUGCAUCCCUGGAAUUAAUCCCUUG